AGUGAACGCUGGCGGUAGGCCUAACACAUGCAAGUCGAACGGCAGCACAGUAAGAGCUUGCUCUUACGGGUGGCGAGUGGCAGACGGGUGAGGAAUACAUCGGAAUCUACUUUUUCGUGGGGGAUAACGUAGGGAAACUUACGCUAAUACCGCAUACGACCUACGGGUGAAAGCAGGGGAUCUUCGGACCUUGCGCGAUUGAAUGAGCCGAUGUCGGAUUAGCUAGUUGGCGGGGUAAAGGCCCACCAAGGCGACGAUCCGUAGCUGGUCUGAGAGGGUGAUCAGCCACACUGGAACUGAGACACGGUCCAGACUCCUACGGGAGGCAGCAGUGGGGAAUAUUGGACAAUGGGCGCAAGCCUGAUCCAGCCAUACCGCGUGGGUGAAGAAGGCCUUCGGGUUGUAAAGCCCUUUUGUUGGGAAAGAAAAGCAGCAGGUUAAUACCCCGCUGUUCUGACGGUACCCAAAGAAUAAGCACCGGCUAACUUCGUG
rnacentral:rRNA from 1 species